GACGAAGGGGGCUAGCGUUGUUCGGAAUUACUGGGCGUAAAGCGAGUGUAGGUGGUUGUUCAAGUUGGAUGUGAAAGCCUUGAGCUCAACUCAAGAAAUGCAUUCAGGACUGAGCGACUAGAGGACCGGAGAGGAUAGUGGAAUUCCCAGUGUAGUGGUGAAAUACGUAGAGAUUGGGAAGAACACCAGUGGCGAAGGCGGCUAUCUGGACGGUUUCUGACACUAAGACUCGAAAGCGUGGGGAGCAAACAGG
rnacentral:rRNA from 1 species